GUUGGGCAGGAAAACACCCAAUUCCCUCUCAGAAGAACAUUCAUAACACAUAAACAAAUGAUAAAGUAUUGACUUUUAUCCCUACUCUUAAAUACAUUUGAAAUGACGACUUGGAUCAACUUGGAGGAGAAGAGACUUGUCUUGCAGGAGGGAGAGAGGAGAGUAGGUAUGACAAAGAGUUGUCAGUCUUGGACUGAAACAGAACUUCAGGAAACGGCCUCUGAACUCAGAGAGGCACGUCUUCUUCACUGAGAAACUGAGAUGGAACGCUAACAAGGACUGAAGAAAAAUGGACAGACCUUGUGAAAAACAAAUGGCCCACGAGAGUGGGGUGUUGGACAUCUUCAUACCAUGUGCUGCAACACAAAGCUGACUGCUCCAAUAGGUACCGACGCGGGUGGAGGAGUGAGAAAGAGAAGGAGAGAGAGAGGACCUGACCAGUGACUCAGUUGCAGAUGCUGUGGCCUACAGAAGACAGUGUGCACCUUGGUGGGCAAUAGCAUGCAGCAGAGCCUACACCCCUCUAUCCACUGGCUGAGCCAAUCAGCCUGAUGAGACAACAUGGUGGGAAAAGUUUUGGAGCCAUCAUGACCUAGUCAGACCCAGUUUUGCUCACAGCACAUCAGAGGAUGCUGCACUCCACGUGUCCUGGCCUGAAAAGCAUGCCCCCCCCCCCCCAUCCAGGUAGCCUAGGCUCCGUGACAGACCACAGACAUAGGGGAUUCUACAGGCUGACUCCUGGAGACACUCUGGAGUUCCAACGGUUUAUAAUCCAGAGGUUCUCAUCACUAACCCACAGUUACUUAGCAUGUCUCACAAGGAGAUCUCCUAUCUGUACGAAAGCCCUCAGUGCAGACAAAAUAAAACGUUGAGUUUACUAUUUUUAAAUGGGGUGUUGUUCGCAGUUUUGUAUAGGCAGCCAUCUAGGUCCAUUGAUAUGGGGACUACAAAGACUUACUGCUGGAUGUCACAUUGCAUUGCCCCAGAUAAAGAAAAAAGAGGAGAUCUAGCUAGACACAUCCUUUUUCAAGUGUCAUCUUUGUUUUCAUGCCUUGUGCACCUGGGACCGGAC